GCCCUUGUAGCUUAGCCGGUAGAGCACGAGACUGUUAAUCUCGGGGUCGGCAGUUCGAGUCUGCCCAAGGGCG
rnacentral:tRNA from 1 species